GUGCUCACUUCGGCAGCAUAUAUACUAACAUUGGAAUGAUACAGAGCAGAUGAGCAUGGCCCUUGCACAAGGAUGACACACAAGUUCGUGAAGUGUUUCAUAUUUUU
ensembl:snRNA U6 U6 spliceosomal RNA